rnacentral:tRNA from 1 species
UGGCUUAGUGGAAAGAGCCUGGAUUUGGGAGUCAGAGGACCUGGGUUCAAAUCCCAG